rnacentral:rRNA from 1 species
AGAGCGCAAGGGGAAUGCCUUGGCACUGGGAGCCGACGAAGGACGUAGCGAUCUACGAUAAGCCACGGUGAGCCGAAAGCAGGCAUCGACCCGUGGAUUUCCGAAUGGGGCAACCUGGCUGAAUAAGAAUCAGUCAACAUACGGUGAAUAAAAUAGUCGUAUGUAGGGAACCGCCUGAACUGAAACAUCUAAGUAGGGCGAGGAAAAGAAAUCAACCGAGAUUCCGCUAGUAGUGGCGAGCGAACGCGGAAGAGGCCAAACCGAGAGUAGAAAUAUUCUCGGGGUUCGGACAGUGUAGUGUAUUGAUGACGGUUAGCAGAAGGACAUGGGACGGUCCACCACAGAGAGUGAUAGUCUCGUACGCGAAAACCGAAGUCAGCCAACUGUAUCCAGAGUACCGCCGGACACGUGAAACCCGGUGGGAAUAUGGGGGGACCAUCCUCCAAGCCUAAAUACUCCCUGGUGACCGAUAGUGAACAGUACUGUGAAGGAAAGGUGAAAAGAACCCCGGGAGGGGAGUGAAAAGAACCUGAAACCUUGUGCUUACAAGCACACAAAGCACGUCAAAGUGUGAUGUGGUACCUUUUGUAGAAUGGUCCGGCGAGUGAAUGUAACCGGCGAGGUUAAGUGUUUAAGACACGGAGCCGCAGCGAAAGCGAGUCUGAAACGGGCGUUUCAGUCGGUUGUAUUCGACCCGAAACCGGGUGACCUAGCCAUGUCCAGGCUGAAGUUAAGGUAAAACUUGAUGGAGGGCCGAACCCACUCCCGUUGAAAUGGUAGGGGAUGAGGUGUGGCUAGCGGAGAAAUUCCAAUCGAACCCGGAGAUAGCUGGUUCUCUCCGAAAUAGCUUUAGGGCUAGCCUCGAUCGAACAUUACCGGAGGUAGAGCACUGAAUGAGCUAGGGGCCGAGAGGUUACUGAACUCUAUCAAACUCCGAAUGCCGGAUAAUGAUGAUCGGGAGUCAGACUAUGGGAGAUAAGUUUCAUAGUCAAAAGGGAAACAGCCCAGACCCACAGCUAAGGUCCCAAAGUAUGGUUAAGUGGAAAAGGAUGUGGAGUUGCACAGACAACCAGGAUGUUGGCUUAGAAGCAGCCACUCAUUAAAAGAGUGCGUAAUAGCUCACUGGUCGAGUGACUCUGCGCCGAAAAUUUAACGGGGCUAAAUCGUACACCGAAGCUUGGGAUGUUAGAUGUUAGACAGUAGACAUUAGACAAUAGAUGAGAGAUAGAAGCGUAUGAAAUAUAUCAGGCGCAUAAGAUCCAAUAUCUAAAAUCUAAUAUCUAGCGUCUAACAUCUAACAUGGUAGGAGAGCGUUGAAUGCGGGGUGAAGUCAGAGCGAAAGCGCUGGUGGACUGCAUUGAAGUGAGAAUGCCGGAAUGAGUAGCGAGAUUUAUGUGAGAAUCAUAAAGGCCGAAAGACUAAGGAUUCAGAAGGAAGGUUCGUCCGCUUCUGGUUAGCCGGGAGCUAAGGUGAGGCCGAAAGGCGUAGCCGAUGCACAUACGGUGGAGAUUCCGUAGCCGUCAAAAUAUUUAAGCAAAGGGACACUUAUGAAGGGCAUGACCCGGGCGAUGGUAGCCCCGGGCGUAAGGGACCGAAAAUAAGUAGGGAAGCAUGUUUGGAAUAAGGCGAGAAAAGCUUUGUGGAUAUAUGAGACGUCCGUACCGCAAACCGACACAGGUAGUCAGGAAGAGGAUUCUAAGGCCAACGGGAGAAGGGUAGUUAAGGAACUCGGCAAAUUGACCCCGUAACUUCGGAAUAAGGGGCGGUGCGUAAGCACCCGCAGUGAAUAGGUCCAGGCGACUGUUUAUCAAAAACACAGCUCUCUGCUAAAUCGAAAGAUGACGUAUAGGGGGUGACACCUGCCCGGUGCUGGAAGGUUAAGAGGAGGAGUGCAAGCUCCGAAUUGAAGCCCCAGUAAACGGCGGCCGUAACUAUAACGGUCCUAAGGUAGCGAAAUUCCUUGUCGGGUAAGUUCCGACCCGCACGAAUGGUGUAACGAUUUGGGUACUGUCUCAACAAGGGACCCGGCGAAAUUGUAGUAUGUGUGAAGAUGCACAUUACCCGCGAUAGGACGGAAAGACCCCGUAGAGCUUUACUGUAGUUUAACAUUGGAUUCCGGUAACAUAUGCACAGGAUAGGUGGGAGGCGGAGAAGCAGUGAUUUCGGUUGCUGCAGAGCCGACGUUGGGAUACCACUCUUGUGUUACUGGGGUUCUAACCUGUGGCCGUGAUCCGGCACAGGAACAGUGUUAGAUGGGCAGUUUGACUGGGGCGGUCGCCUCCAAAAGAGUAACGGAGGCGUCCAAAGGUUCCCUCAGAAUGGUUGGAAACCAUUCGAAGAGUACAAAGGCAGAAGGGAGCCUGACUGCGAGACCGACAGGUCGAGCAGGGACGAAAGUCGGGCUUAGUGAUCCGGCGGUAUAGAGUGGAAUUGCCGUCGCUCAACGGAUAAAAGCUACCUCGGGGAUAACAGGCUUAUCUCCCCCAAGAGUCCACAUCGACGGGGAGGUUUGGCACCUCGAUGUCGGCUCGUCGCAUCCUGGAGCGGUAGUACGUUCCAAGGGUUGGGCUGUUCGCCCAUUAAAGCGGCACGCGAGCUGGGUUCAGAACGUCGUGAGACAGUUCGGUCCAUAUCCGGUAUACGCGCAAGAGAUUUGAGUGGAGUCUUCCUUAGUACGAGAGGACCGGGAAGAGGGGACCUCCAGUGUAUGGGUUAUCCUGCCAAGGGUAAACGCCCAGUAGCUGUGUUCCAAGCGGAUAAGUGCUGAAAGCAUAUAAGUACGAAGCCCACCGUAAGAUGAGAUCUCUCAUAGCAUAAGCUAGUAAGUCCCGUUGCAGAUUACGACGUUGA